ensembl:rRNA 5S_rRNA 5S ribosomal RNA
UCCUGUAGCCAUGCCACCUUGUGUGGGACUGUCAGUUCUCAGAGACUAAGCAGAAUUGGGCCAGAUCAGUAUUUGGAUGACAGAGCAUAAGGAGCAUUCAGGGGCUGCAGGGA